rnacentral:rRNA from 1 species
UACAGGGGGGUGCAAAACGUUGCUCGGAAUCAUUGGGCGUAAAGCGCACGUAGGCGGUUCGUUAUGUCGGAUGUGAAAGCCCUUGGCUUAACCGAGGAAGUGCAUCCGAAACUGGCGAGCUAGAGUACUAAAGAGGAUCGCGGAAUUCCCGGUGUAGAGGUGAAAUUCGUAGAUAUCGGGAGGAACACCGGUGGCGAAGGCGGCGAUCUGGGUAGAUACUGACGCUGAGGUGCGAAAGCGUGGGGAGCAAACAGG